rnacentral:rRNA from 1 species
CCUACGGGAGGCUGCAGUAAGGAAUAUUGGUCAAUGCCCGGAAGGGUGAACCAGCCAUGCCGCGUGCAGGAUGACGGCCCUAUGGGUUGUAAACUGCUUUUGGAUAGGAAGAAUGGAUUGUAUUGAUAUGAUUUUGACGGUACUAUCAGAAUAAGCACCGGCUAACUCCGUGCCAGCAGCCGCGGUAAUACGGAGGGUGCGGGCAUUAUCCGGAGUUACUGGUGUGAAGGGGUGCGUAGGAGGCGGUGGUGAAAGCAUGGAGCUUAACGGCAUAAUUGCCUUCGAUACUGUAAAGCUGGAAUUAAGUUGAGGUUGGCGGAAUGUGACAUGUAGCGGUGAAAUGCAUAGAUAUGUCAUAGAACACCGAUUGCGUAGGCAGCUGACUGAGCUUAAAUUGACGCUGAGGCACGAAAGCGUGGGGAGCGAACAGGAUUAGAUACCCGUGUAGUC